rnacentral:rRNA from 1 species
CCGACGGUGAGAGGCGAAAGCUGGGGAGCAAACCGGAUUAGAUACCCGGGUAGUCCCAGCCGUAAACGAUGUGCGUUAGGUGUAUCGGUGACCACGAGUCACCGAGGUGCCGAAGAGAAAUCGUGAAACGUACCGCCUGGGAAGUACGGUCGCAAGGCUGAAACUUAAAGGAAUUGGCGGGGGAGCACCACAACAGGUGGAGCCUGCGGUUUAAUCGGACUCAACGCCGGAAAACUCACCAGAUAAG